rnacentral:rRNA from 1 species
UACAUAGGGAGCAAGCGUUAUCCGGAUUUAUUGGGUGUAAAGGGUGCGUAGACGGGAAAUUAAGUUAGUUGUGAAAUCCCUCGGCUUAACUGAGGAACUGCAACUAAAACUGAUUUUCUUGAGUACUGGAGAGGAAAGUGGAAUUCCAUGUGUAGCGGUGAAAUGCGUAGAGAUAUGGAGGAACACCAGUGGCGAAGGCGGCUUCCUGGUCUGCAACUGACACUGAGGCGCGAAAGCGUGGGGAGCAAACAGG